rnacentral:rRNA from 1 species
UACAGAGACUGCGAGCGUUAUUCGGAUUCACUGGGCGUAAAGGGUGCGCAGGCGGCCAGGUGUGUGGGGCGUGAAAGCCCGGGGCUUAACCCCGGAAUUGCACCUCAAACUACUUGGCUAGAGUACUGGAGAGGGUAACGGAAUUCACGGUGUAGCAGUGAAAUGCGUAGAUAUCGUGAGGAACACCAGAGGCGAAGGCGGUUACCUGGACAGUUACUGACGCUCAGGCACGAAAGCGUGGGGAGCAAAAGGG